CACUUUUCUUUUCACACCGUUUCCAAUGUAGCACUUCCGCUACCUGAUCGUGUCGCCACAACUUGUAGUGGUUUUGGGCAAGUCUAGGGCAUUCGUUCGUGAUAUGCGCAAUGGUUUCAUUCACUCUAUUACAGAUGCAGCACAAGUCUGGUACUUAUU